CCGGGAAAAAAGAGCAACAGGGAUUGCCCCAGUAACGGCGAGUGAAGCGGCAACAGCUCAAAUUUGAAAUCUGGCCCCUAGGGUCCGAGUUGUAAUUUGCAGAGGAUGCUUUUGACAAGGUGCCUUCCGAGUUCCCUGGAACGGGACGCCAUAGAGGGUGAGAGCCCCGUCUGGUCGGAUACCGCGUCUCUGUAAAGCUCCUUCGACGAGUCGAGUAGUUUGGGAAUGCUGCUCAAAAUGGGAGGUAUAUGUCUUCUAAAGCUAAAUAUUGGCCAGAGACCGAUAGCGCACAAGUAGAGUGAUCGAAAGAUGAAAAGCACUUUGAAAAGAGGGUUAAAAAGUACGUGAAAUUGUUGAAAGGGAAGCGCCUAUGACCAGACUUGGGCCCGGUGAAUCAUCCAGCGUUCUCGCUGGUGCACUUUGCCGGGCACAGGCCAGCAUCAGUUUGGCUUGGGGGAAAAAGGCUUUGGGAACGUAGCUCCUCGGAGUGUUAUAGACCAUUGCAUAAUACCCUGGGCCGGACUGAGGUUCGCGCAUCUGCAAGGAUGCUGGCGUAAUGGUCAUCAGCGACCCGUCUUGAAACACGGACCAAGGAGUCGUCUUCGUAUGCGAGUGUUCGGGUGUAAAACCCCUACGCGUAAUGAAAGUGAACGCAGGUGAGAGCUUCGGCGCAUCAUCGACCGAUCCUGAUGUUCUCGGAUGGAUUUGAGUAAGAGCAUACGGGGCCGGACCCGAAAGAAGGUGAACUAUGCCUGUAUAGGGUGAAGCCAGAGGAAACUCUGGUGGAGGCUCGCAGCGGUUCUGACGUGCGAAUCGAUCGUCAAAUAUGGGCAUGGGGGCGAAAGACUAAUCGAACCUUCUAGUAGCUGGUUUCCGCGUUCUCUCUUCCCCCGGAGAAAAC
rnacentral:rRNA from 1 species